UACGUAGGGUGCGAGCGUUAAUCGGAAUUACUGGGCGUAAAGCGUGCGCAGGCGGUCUGUUAAGACCGAUGUGAAAUCCCCGGGCUUAACCUGGGAACUGCAUUGGUGACUGGCAGGCUUUGAGUGUGGCAGAGGGAGGUAGAAUUCCACGGUGUAGCAGUGAAAUGCGUAGAGAUGUGGAGGAAUACCGAUGGCGAAGGCAGCCUCCUGGGCCAACACUGACGCUCAGGCACGAAAGCGUGGGGAGCAAACAGG
rnacentral:rRNA from 1 species